rnacentral:rRNA from 1 species
AUUGAACGCUGGCGGCAUGCCUUACACAUGCAAGUCGAACGGUAGAGGGGCAACCCUUGAGAGUGGCGAACGGGUGAGUAAUGUAUCGGAACGUGCCCAGUCGUGGGGGAUAACGUAGCGAAAGUUACGCUAAUACCGCAUACGAUCUAUGGAUGAAAGCGGGGGAGGGCAAGACCUCGUGCGAUUGGGGCGGUGGAUAUCAGAUUAGGUAGUGGGUGGGGUAAAGGCCUACCAAGCCGACGAUCUGUAGCUGGUCUGAGAGGACGACCAGCCACACUGGACUGAGACACGGCCCAGACUCCUACGGGAGGCAGCAGUGGGGAAUUUUGGACAAUGGACGAAAGUCUGAUCCAGCCAUUCCGCGUGCAGGAUGAAGGCCUUCGGGUUGUAAACUGCUUUUGUACGGAACGAAAAGGCUCUGGUUAAUACCUGGAGCUCAUGACGGUACCGUAAGAAUAAGCACCGGCUACCUACGUGCCAGCCGCCGCCGUAACAC